rnacentral:rRNA from 1 species
AGUGAACGCUGGCGGUAGGCCUAACACAUGCAAGUCGAACGGCAGCACAGUAAGAGCUUGCUCUUACGGGUGGCGAGUGGCGGACGGGUGAGGAAUACAUCGGAAUCUACUUUUUCGUGGGGGAUAACGUAGGGAAACUUACGCUAAUACCGCAUACGACCUACGGGUGAAAGCAGGGGAUCUUCGGACCUUGCGCGAUUGAAUGAGCCGAUGUCGGAUUAGCUAGUUGGCGGGGUAAAGGCCCACCAAGGCGACGAUCCGUAGCUGGUCAGAGAGGAUGAGCAGCCACACUGGAACUGAGACACGGUCCAGACUCCUACGGGAGGCAGCAGUGGGGAAUAUUAGGCAAUGGGCGCAAGCCUGAGCCAGCCAUACCGCGUGGGUGAAGAAGGCCUUCGGGUUGUAAAGCCCUUUUGUUGGGAAAGAAAAGCAGCAGGGUAAGACCCCGCUGUUCUGACGGUACCCAAAGAAUAAGCACCGGCUAAGUUCGUG